GACGAACGCUGGCGGCGUGCUUAACACAUGCAAGUCGAACGGAAAUGCCCUGCUUUUGUGGGGUGCUCGAGUGGCGAACGGGUGAGUAACACGUGAGUAACCUGCCCUUGACUUUGGGAUAACUUCAGGAAACUGGGGCUAAUACCGGAUAGGAGCUCCUGCUGCAUGGUGGGGGUUGGAAAGUUUCGGCGGUUGGGUAUGGACUCGCGGCUUAUCAGCUUGUUGGUGGGGUAGUGGCUUACCAAGGCUUUGACGGGUAGCCGGCCUGAGAGGGUGACCGGCCACAUUGGGACUGAGAUACGGCCCAGACUCCUACGGGAGGCAGGAGUGGGGAAUAUAGCACAAUGGGAGGAAGCCUGAUGCAGCAACGCCGCGUGCGGGAUGACGGUCUUCGGGUUGUAAACCGCUUUCGCCUGUGACGAAGCGUGAGUGACGGUAAUGGGUAAAGAAGCACCGGCUAACUACGUG
rnacentral:rRNA from 1 species